CACAUGUAUUAUAAUCCAAAUGCCUUUGUUACUCACCUACCCACAGGUAAACCGCUGUCGCGUGUUCUUUUUAUAAUAUUACGUUGUCCUGUAACAUUUCACGUAUUUGUAUGUCUUCGAUGUAUUCAAAAUUAAAACAUAAUACCUAUACAGGUAAUAGACACCAAAAGAAUAUACUCGUAGGUACAAUAAAAUGAUUAACGUUUAUCCUUAGACCUAAAACCUAUUUGUUUACCUGU